CCACUCCCUGCAGCACCCCCUUCUACACAGCAGGCCCCAUAUGCCCCAAUUUCACAUACACAAUCUCAUUUUACCAUCACAGCCACCUUGUGAGGGAGGUAUUAAUUGUACCUAUAUGACAGAUGAGGACAUGGUGACUCAGAAAAGUUGAAUAAUGAGCUGGACUGCAUUGGUCCUGAAAGCUUUCUCCCCACAGUCACUAAGUUUCACCUGCUUCUUCCUCUCCCCCACCAGCCCAGGUCUCUCCUUCUCCUCAGAUUCUCUUCUCUGCCUGUCUCUUCCCAGCCUAACCCAUCUUCCCUCCCCUGGAUUUUAGGCUGUUAUUCUUUUCUGUCUCCCAGUGUAACAGGCUGGCUUCACUCAGCUCCUAAUAAAUCUGUGAAGUUGUAAUCAAUCUGUAUAUCAGCUCUCCUGAGGAAACCUGGUGGGGAUUAGGUUUGCGUUUCUCUGUAAUUAUAGCUGAAGACCUAGGCAAUGAAUCAAACUGACUGACAGAAAGAAUGGGGUUACCUCAAAACACCUUGCGUCUCCUCUCCUGUGGUCUAUCCGGCCAGGCCCCAACCACAGAUGACCUGCCUCGCUGCUGCACCCCUCCCCCCCAUCCCCAAGGCUGAGGGUGUGAGAUCCAGACCAGACCUCUGACCUUGGGCUGGAGGUCAAGAUCCUGAAGGUCACAGAAAAAGGGGGUCUGCAAGAUGUGCAAGAAUCUUCCAGAGCGCUCAUCUAACUACGCAUCCUCUCUCCUCCUGUGGGUCUGGGUAAUUUCUCCCUCCUUUAGUUUCCUGGGGUUUCUCUCCCUACACUUGGGUAAAGUGGGAGAGAGGGGGUCUUUUUGAGGAGUGUCAGUCCCCUAACUAGUCUGGAAACUCUGCACUUGAUUUUGGCUAUUUUUGGCAGAAUCAGAAGGAGAUGGUAGGCAGCAGUGCGCGUGACAGUGGAGACCAAAGAUGGGGGAGGGGUGCUAGGCUGCCAGGUGGUGGAGAUGCCUUGGAGACUGACAAUCCAUCUGCCUCUCCUUUCUUUCCAGGGGCCCAAGCGGGGUUGGCGCAAGAGGACUUGGUCCAGGCAGGGAUGCUGGCCUUUCUUCCCACGUCCUGUGAGGUUCCUCACCAUCAAGCUUAGAUUUCGAAAAUUAACAUCACGGAGGGAAAUGUCAUGGAGCCGAAGACAGCCUCCAACUGUAACACUCCAAGAAGUGCCAGCUUGGGCCAAGAUAUUGAACCCUGAUCACCUUCCUGGCCCCACUCUAUUUUUGACUUGA
rnacentral:lncRNA from 1 species